ACUACCUUUGAAAAUGUUCCCCAGAAAUAUGAUAGUCACUUAACUGAAGCUGAUGGUCAAAGAGGAAAAAGUACAAUAAAGGAACAAGAAGAUUCUCUUGAGCAAUAUCAUCACUUGAAGCCUAAGGUUGAAAUCAAAGAGUGUGUUUCGAACCAGGCAGUCAGAAUGAAAGGUGUACAAGCAUGCACAUCAGACUUGGGGCAGAUGAACUUAAUAGAUCAAGAAAAGAUGACCACUGCAGCUGCAUUUCUAUUUUGGAAUUACACUCUCCAUGACCUGUGUGAGUCACAGCUACCAGAAAACAAAGAGAGCAAAGAAGAACAAGAUUUAGAAGCGACAUCAGAGCAAGAGCCAGAAAGGCUUGAAGGAAGUGAAAAGAACAAGCCACAGGCUGAGGGAGAAAGGAAGAAGCAUGCAAGGAAUGAAACAGAAGCAUCAAGAAACCUACAUGAUGGCUCCACUGAUGACCAUAUUCAACAAGGAGAGAGUGGAGAAACUGACGGUCAGCAAAUUCCUAGGACAGAGCAUGAAGAGUGCGAUAGUAGUGUCCCUGCCUUGCAUAUGAAGAAAGUAAAGAAAAAUGAACAUGAAGAAUGGAUCACAACAGAAUCUGUGACUCUGCUAGUAUUUAAGAAGGCCGAUUUAAUAACUCAUGAUCUGCUGCAAGUGACUGAUGACAGCAGUUUAACUGAAAUAGAUGAGAAAGAAAGAAAGCUUACAAAGAAAACAUCUAAUGAGAAGGACAAGGUCAGAAACCAAAUCCAUUCUAUGGAUGGCUUUGAUGACUUAACUUGGUCAUCUGAAAUAGCCUCAGAAUGUUGUGAGCUGCCUUACUCUAAUUACAAAAAGUUUAUAUUGCUCAUUGAAGAACUUGGCGUGGAUUGUAAAGAUCCUGUUAACCUACUGAAAAUUCAGGAUGCCGUUCAUUCAUGGGAAAGAUCAAUAGAAGUUGAAAAAAAUCACUGUAAACUACUUACAGAAAAAAUGAAAAAAAUGGAAAAUGAGGUCCAUGUACUACAAAAGGAGUUAUCUGAAACAAUAGAAAUAAAAUUACAGUUAGAACAUCAAAACGAUGAAUGGGAACGAGAUUUCUACAGUUUGAGGCAUGGCACCCUAGUUUUAAAGAAAUGGUUGAAGUAUUUCCUUUAUGCUAAAAAUAUGUAGAAGAAUUCUGGUAUUUACUGACUUACCUUCUGGGGCCGAACAGGGGAGAGAACUUCUGAGCCUUCUGGAGAGUGAAAUUCUUUGAGAUAAUAUAACAAGUUCUUUACUGUGAAUACUUCUACAAAUAACUAAAUGCUUACUCUUUUAAAUCAUCAUUUUUAUGACUGUAUAGGAGUUUACCAUAUGGAAAUCUCAUCAUUGAUUUAGCAAAUUGAAUUGAGGGUUUUAAAGUUUUUUGUGUUUAAAUAAUGUUGCAAGGAACAUCUUUUUAUACAAAUCUUUUUCUACAUUUUUGGCUAUUUACUUUGAAUAAAUUCUUCAAUUUAGAUUUUUUUUGUUCAAUUAUAAAAACUUUUAACAAAUGGUCUUUGAUCAAUAUUUCUCAGUUGUUCACAAGAAAAUUUAUAUUAGCUUACAGUGUAGCCAACACGGUAUGAAAUGUCCAUUUUUUUAAAAACUCAGAUUAAUUCUUUUAAAUUUAUAGUUUUAUUCUUACUAUGCAUGAAAUAAAAGUUGAAAUGGAAAGUGAUUUCUGAUUCGUUUAUUCAACAUCUCUCACUUUUCCACAUAUAAAAUUAAUUCAGAGUUCUAUGUGAAAAACACAUACUGUCCAAAGUGUCACCCAUAAAAGAAACAUCAAAAGUGUGGGGUAACCGGUUAGACUCCUUGGCCUAGUCUUGCAUUAUAGCGAUCUGCUGAUACAUGUGUGAAAAACAGAUGAAGGUGCUCUUUUACACUGUAAAUCAUUUUUAGGGAUAUCUGCACUAUUUCAUGAAGAUGAACAUUUCUAGUGAAUUUAUAAACAUGUUUAUAAACGGCAACUUCUUUUUAAUUAGCUAACUCUAAAUAACUUUCUCUAAUUGAGGAGCAAUUACAACUGUAUAGGGGAAAAAAUUACUUUUCUACCUGUAGUGUUGGUGAAUAAUUUCCAAUAUCCUUUUCUAUAAUAUUCGCCAGAGUUACUAGGAACAGAAACUUCCCAAUUACCAGAAUGUUCUUUCCUCCUUACCUUUCAAGUAUGCAUCAUUUGGAAGAGAUGGAAGUAAGAAAUUGGAAAUAUAAGAACUAGAAAGGAAAAACAUUCACAAGUGUAGACAUUUUACUAAGAAAGCAACCAACAUAUGCAGAGCCAGAUCACAAAAUGAACUUAUUAUUUUCUAAUGAAACUAAUAUUAAGAUAAACAUAUUUCACUGCAGAUCUGCCUUAAGACAAGAAGAAGAGAAGAGAAAAAAAUGCCAACACAUUGUAUGAAAAAAUCAGGGGACACUUAAGAAGAAAAGAAGAGCAGUACAUGAAAGAAGUUGAAGCGAACAAACAACUUCAACUGCCUUGAGACCACCGACAGAUAGUGGAUAUCCACGAACCAGGUACACGAAAUAAGUUGAAAAACGCAGGC
rnacentral:lncRNA from 1 species